GCUUUUGUAGUGUAAAACAACACAUUACAUUUUCAAUGUAAAGAUAAGAAUUAACUUCUUUUAAAGUA
rnacentral:tRNA from 1 species